UGAAAAGGCAGCGGCUGUCGGGUCCCCUCUCACUGAGGCUAAAUGCAGAGCAGAGCUUGUGGGUAAGGCAGUGUGUGGGGCAGCUGCAACGCUGACCGUUUCCAUGCUGUGCCUGGUCACCAUCUGUCACCAUGCCACCCAGCAUCCUUCCCUGUACACAUGGAGAAGAGCCCAGCAGCCCUCAGGGCGUGGAGAUCCCUGGGGGAAUGGAUGCUGCAGUGAGGAAGACAUGUGGGUGACCUGCAGACUCGGGUGACCUGCAGAUGCGGGUGACCUGCAGAUGCGGGUGACCUGCAGAACGCUCCGGGUUCAGCUGUUGUCUGAAAGGGAUGUGGCUCCUCACAGCAGGUCAAGGACAGACCUUGGGAGGCCCAGAAUUUUUGCUUGCUCCUUGGGAAGCUGGUGCAGUGGACACUGUCAGCAGGUUCAUCGUGGCCCCUGGCGUCUGUGCUUACAGGGCAGCCUCUGGGGACAGUGGCCUGGAGGAACCAGAAGCCAGACAGAGCAGUGUGUGCAAAGCUUCCUCAAGGUGGCCGUAAUCCUAGCACGUGGAAGGUGGGGGCAGGAGGAUCGGGAAUUCAAACCCAGCCUCUGCUACACCAGCGCUAGCGGUGUGAAACCCAGUCUCAAGAAAACAGGACGACUAGGUUGGUAAAAGCUUGCAAGUGUGAGGACCUCCGUGUGGACGCCUUAGACUCCGAGUUACAAGUCUGGAUGCAGCGUUGCCCUCUUGUAGUCCGGGUGCUGCGGGAGCAGAGACAGGCAGGUCCCUGAAGCACCCUGGGAAAGACCCAGGAAGGAAUGCGAACCUUCCAUAUGCCAAGAAGUUCUAAAAAGAUCAGUUUCGAUUCCUCAGAAGCUGUAUUGAGGAAGACCCAACAGACCCAGGGGACAGAUCCUUGUGGCCAGCAACAAAAGGAAAUGAAACAAUAUAAAGAAAAUGUUUUGCAGGGUUUGUGUGCUUAACACGCUCACACAAGACCAGGUGUGCUUCAGAGUGUGGUGUGUGUGUGUGUGUGUGUGUGUGUGUGUGUGUGUGCUUCAGAGUGUGGUGUGUGUGUGUGUGUGUGUGUGUGUGUGUGUGUGCUUAACACACUCCAUACAAGACCAGGUGUGCUUCAGAGUGUGUGUGUGUGUGUGUGUGUGUGUGUGUGUGUAUGUGGUGUGUGUGUGUGUGUGUAUGUGGUGUGUGUGUGUGUGUGUGGUGUGUGUAUGUAGUGUGUGUGUGUGUGUAUG
rnacentral:lncRNA from 1 species